rnacentral:lncRNA from 1 species
AAGGGUUGGAUUCAAGCUGAUUUGUUUUCUGGGUUUGAUGCUCGCGUUGUUGUUGAAAGGAGAUUUGUUGGGAGUUUGUUUUUAUUGGGAAAAAGAUGUUGUAUUGUGUUUCUGUUAUGUUGGCUUUGUUGUGCUGUUCUUGUAUGUUUAAUUGAUUUGGAGUUUAAGUCUCAUGGAAGCAAAGAGAUUGAAGGGAGGUGGAGUAAGAGAGUAAGAAAAAAAAAAUCUGGAAAAUUGAUGAUAGAAGAAUGAGAUAAUGAGGAAGAAGAUGAAGAUAUGAUGUUUUGAAUUUUUUUUAAUGUAAUUGUUAAUUAAUAAAAAAAAAUGUAGGUGGAAAAUAAAUAAAUGGAAAAAUAAAAUAAAAAGCCAACUCAUCAUGUCAACUAAGCUAAUUUGUACAAUCAUACAUGUUUAGGGGU